rnacentral:antisense_RNA from 1 species
CUUCAGCGAGCCCAGCCACAGCGGGCGGCCUUCCUCGCGGCCCUGCCCGUAGGUCGCCAGCAGGGCCCGCGCCUC